AACGAACGCUGGCGGCAGGCUUAACACAUGCAAGUCGAGCGGAUGAGGAAAGCUUGCUUUUCGAUUCAGCGGCGGACGGGUGAGUAAUGCCUAGGAAUCUGCCUGUUAGUGGGGGAUAACUCGGGGAAACUCGGGCUAAUACCGCAUACGUCCUACGGGAGAAAGUGGGGGAUUUUCGGACCUCACGCUAACAGAUGAGCCUAGGUCGGAUCAGCUAGUAGGUGAGGUAAUGGCUCACCUAGGCGACGAUCCGUAACUGUCCUGAGAGGAUGAUCAGUCACACUGGAACUGAGACACGGUCCAGACUCCUACGGGAGGCAGCAGUGGGGAAUAUUGGACAAUGGGCGAAAGCCUGAUUCAGCCAUGCCGCGUGUGUGAAGAAGGUCUUCGGAUUGUAAAGCACUUUAAGUUGGGAGGAAGGGUAUUCACCUAAUACGUGGGUACUUUGACGUUACCAACAGAAUAAGCACCGGCUAACUCUGUGCCAGCCGCCGCGGUAAAAC
rnacentral:rRNA from 1 species